GACGAACGCUGGCGGCGUGCUUAACACAUGCAAGUCGAACGGAAAGGCCCUGCUUGCAGGGUACUCGAGUGGCGAACGGGUGAGUAACACGUGGGUGAUCUGCCCUGCACUUCGGGAUAAGCCUGGGAAACUGGUCUAAUACCGGAUAGGAGCCAUUUUUAGUGUGAUGGUUGGAAAGUUUUUUCGGUGUAGGAUGAGCUCGCGGCCUAUCAGCUUGUUGGUGGGGUAAUGGCCUACCAAGGCGGCGACGGGUAGCCGGCCUGAGAGGGUGGACGGCCACAUUGGGACUGAGAUACGGCCCAGACUCCUACGGGAGGCAGCAGUGGGGAAUAUUGCACAAUGGGCGCAAGCCUGAUGCAGCGACGCCGCGUGGGGGAUGACGGCCUUCGGGUUGUAAACUCCUUUCGCUAGGGACGAAGCUUUUUGUGACGGUACCUAGAUAAGAAGCACCGGCUAACUACGUG
rnacentral:rRNA from 1 species